rnacentral:tRNA from 1 species
GCCUAUAGCUCAGCUGGUUAGAGCGCACGCCUGAUAAGCGUGAGGUCGAUGGUUCGAGUCCAUUUGGGCC